GUACAGAUUCUGACUAGGUCUGCGUGAUGUUGCAGAAGUGAAGGGAACCAUGUUUGCAAAAGUGAGUUUAAUGUUGGAAAAUUUAUCACCCCUAAAAUUG